GAUGAACGCUGGCGGCGUGCCUAAUACAUGCAAGUCGAGCGAAGCGAGGAGGGGGGCGUAACACGUGGAUAACCGCGGAUACGAACGGGGUAACUUGGGGAAACCGGAGCUAAACCGGAUAUUUGGACAUGGAUGCGCGCUGCAUUAGCUAGUCGGUAAGGUAACGGCUUAGCAAGGCCACGAUGCAUAGCCGACCUGAGAGGGUGAUCGGCCACACUGGGACUGAGACACGGCCCAGACUCCUACGGGAGGCAGCAGUAGGGAAUCUUCCGCAAUGGGCGAAAGCCUGACCGAGCAACGCCGCGUGAGUGAGGAAGGUCUUCGGAUCGUAAAACUCUGUUAUUAGGGAAGCGGUAUCUAAUCAGAAAGCCACGGCUAACUACGUGCCAGCCGCCGCGGUAAUAC
rnacentral:rRNA from 1 species